AGCUCUCCGAGUGGUGGGGAUGUUUAUUGGGCCUAAAGCAUUCGUAGCCUGUUGGACAAGUCCUUCGUUAAAUCCAACGAUUCAAUCGUUGGACUGCGGGGGAUACUGUCCAGCUAGAGGGCGGGAGAGGCCGACGGUAUCUCCGGGGUAGGGGUGAAAUCCUAUAAUCCCGGGAGGACCACCAGUGGCGAAGGCUGUCGGCUAGAACGCGCCUGACGGUGAGGGAUGAAAGCUGGGGGAGCGAACCGGAUUAGAUACCCGAGUAGUCC
rnacentral:rRNA from 1 species